GGGAAGUUGGCUCAGUGGUAGAGUGCUUGCCUUGCAUGCAUGAGGCCCGGAGUUCUACUCCUCA
rnacentral:tRNA from 1 species